GUCUGACCAGACAUAGAGGGAACGAACAAGAGUGCUGCAAAUUGAAGCCGGAGGAAACGAAGUUGAUCGAAGUGGAAAAAGACGAUAUAUAAAAAGGUGUGGGACAUUCCAAAUGUUCCAAAAGUGAGCACUCCACGAAUGGACAACAGUUUGCAGGACCUCUCAGGCACCCACAACCAGCGUCUGAUCGGGAUGGAGCACCAACCCCAUUCCAGGAAGAGGUCCAGUCUGCCCCGGGUCAGAACCACUUCUAUAGCAACUACACAACUGUGUAUGCACUUAUCAUUAUUGAUAGCCAGUCUGAGCCAGAAGACACAAUGGAGCAAAGCACAGAAUACCUGACUGCGGCGGACUUUGUUGCAGAACUCUCUGCAAAAAUAACAAAUACAUCUUGCAGCAGGUUCAAUAUUAAUAGAGCCAGUGUGUGGGAUGGAGCAAUCCGCGGCUUCAAAGGUGCCUCAUUCGAUCCCUCUCAUGAGAUGUCAGUUAAGUUCACUGAUGAUGAGGGACACACUGAGGAUGGAGGGGACAAUGGUGGUCCCAAGCGUGAGUUCCUGACCCUCCUUAUGGAAUGCCUGAGAAUGAAGAAAACAUCACGUCAGCAACUGUUUGUGCCCCAUGGCGGUGUGACUUUCCCAGCCGCUCACUGUCUCAAAAUCUGAUUCUAAAUGUAUAAUGUUCUCUAUAAAGAUAGAACUAAUACACAAUUAUGAAUGUAUAAUAUAAGCUGUUUUGUGUAUUUAAUCAUGCAUUGGUCUACAAUUUAAUGAUGGCUUCUACAUAUUUCACAUAAACAGACAAUGAAAAAAUGUGUCCUUCAU